AAGUCCUUCCCUGCCCUGCUCUCAGAACAAGAAGAGCACUCCGUUUCCAGGACUCCCCCAGUGGAGCUGAGACAAUCCAGGCUCUACCUUCUCUGAGUCUUGUCACGAGAUGCACACAAGAGUUUAAGUUCUGCCAGAGGUUACAGAUCUCUGUCUCCACCCCACGCUGCAGAGACAGAGAAAUCACACAGAAAGUCAGUAUGCUAAUCACUCAAGAAGUGGCUGUCUAACCUGUCUCACUGCCUUUAAAUGCUGAAGGUGCAAACAGAAGUCACGACCCUUCAUCUUUCUUCUUGAGUUACCUUGGAUUCCAGGAAUAGAGGAACUCUGAAGGACACAUCCCUCUCACUAUGAAAACAGCUAUCCAGGAGGGCAGGGCCUUCUACUGGAGACGAAGUGGAGGCACACAGGCCAGUUCCAUAAUUAACAUUUGAGCUCAUUCCCAUCAAAGAGAAAGGUGGAAGGAAACCUUGUUCAAAUGAACAGAGAACUAAGGUAAACUAAGAUGAAACAUUAUUGUCCCUAAGGUGAAACAUUGUUGCUAACCAAGGUGAAACAUUGUAGCUAAGGUGAAACAUUGUUCCUAACUAAGCUGAAACAUUGUCGCUAACUAAGGUGAAACAUUGUCGCUAACUAAGGUGAAACAUUGUUGCUAAGGUGAAACAUUGUGGCUAAGGUGAAACAUUGUUGCUAACUAAGCUGAAACAUUAUUGCACUCAACUUUUUAACUUUGGGUAGGAGAAUGUUCAUGAAAAACUUCAAAACCAGUUUGAUACGCUGUUUAUUCAUUUACUUUUUCAUCAAUUAUGUGUUGGAUUUCAGUUUUCAGCAGACACUAGUUUUCUUUCUCUGCUGAACAAUGCAAACAAGGCAAGGAGAAGAAAGAAAGAUCUUCACCUCCUGGAGUGGAAGGAGGUUCACCUUCCUGGGAACACACCUUCGUGGUCAUGGGAUCCCAGGAGCCUAUUCUCGGCUCCUCCGUGAUGUAGCUCCCAUGGAAAGAAAAUUCACAAUCCUCCCCAAACCAGAGCAUCAACCCAUCAUCACAAAUCUCCACAGAUGGUCUCAGUGGUCACCAGCUUCAAUAAUUCCCUUUCAUGAAUAACACUCUCUCCCAAACUGCUUCUAGACUGACACUGAGACUCCUUCAUAGGAUGUGGUGGAAGAGAUGUGGUGUAGCUUCCUAGAAUAGGAAUUCAAAUAUCUUCAGCUGCCCUCUUCCAGAAAGUUCCUUGGGAACUCCUCUACCAUGCUGCAGGAAGCCCAUACCACAUGAAGAUGUUACAUGGAGGAGGACUAAGGUCCUUCAGUCAACAGCCCUAGCAGAGAAUCCCAUUGGCAGCCUCUACCCAUUGCUAAGUAUGCAAGUGAUACCUUAUAAACCAUGGUCCAGCUAAGCCAUUCCGUGACAACAGCCAGCAACUGGCCUCCCAUGAUGAAGAACCAUCUACUUGAACUUACUGAAACCACAGAAUCAUGAUGGAUGAUGAACAACAGUUGAUUUUAAGUCUCUGCUUGGAGGGGUGUUACACAAAAUGGGGUGUUUGUUGUGUUCUUUCUCUUGGAACGACCACACAAGGUGGUCCUGUUGGCCCUCUUAAAGACUAUGAUGUCCAUAGCAAGGGUUGGCUGUGAAAGGGCCCACACUUUCCAAUGUUCUGCCUUCCAUGCAUAGGUAAGGCAAAUAGAUACUUUUUACCCUUGAUAGUGGGGCAUCGAGUUAAUCCAGCUUAGCAGAGAAUCUCACAUAGUUGUCUCGCUCAGAGACUGCUUCGAGUCUUCUCACCAAAAGCAAUUAAAUAUGAACAAGGAGCUCUAAUAGAGACUGCCAGUGUCUUGUCUUUAUGCACCAGGGCAUACAAGGGAACUUGAAAAGCCAAUGUAUUGAUAACUGGCUUUUUCUAGUUCUUUGGAAUGCUUUCUUUCCCAAUGUUUACUGGGAUUUGAAGUAUAAAUUUCCCAGCGUUUUAUUUACUUUUCAAUGACUUUGAAAAAAAUGCCAGGACCAAGGCUACUUAUAGAAGAAAGAGUUUGUUGGGGGCUUACAGUUUCAGAGGGAAAGUCCACGACCACCAUAGAUAUGAGCAUGACAGAAGGCAGGCAAACAUGGCACAAACAGCAGUUGAGAGUUCACAUUUUUGAUCUGCAAGUAGGAGACAGGGAGAGCUAACUGGAAAUGGUGUGGGUUUUUGAAACAUCAAAGUCCAUUCUCAGGUGACACGGCUCUUCCAGUCAAGCCGUAUCUCCUAAUCCUUCUCAAGAGGUUCCACCAACCGAGGACCAAGCAUGCAAAUACAGGAGUCUAUAGGGGUCGUUUCCACACAAUCUCCCACA